UAAGGAAUAUUGGUCAAUGGGCGGAAGCCUGAACCAGCCAUGCCGCGUGCAGGAUGACUGCCCUAUGGGUUGUAAACUGCUUUUGUCCAGGAAUAAACCUAGAUACGUGUAUCUAGCUGAAUGUACUGGAAGAAUAAGGAUCGGCUAACUCCGUGCCAGCAGCCGCGGCAAUACGGAGGAUCCGAGCGUUAUCCGGAUUUAUUGGGUUUAAAGGGUGCGUAGGCGGCCUAUUAAGUCAGGGGUGAAAUACGGUGGCUCAACCAUCGCAGUGCCUUUGAUACUGAUGGGCUUGAAUCCAUUUGAAGUGGGCGGAAUAAGACAAGUAGCGGUGAAAUGCAUAGAUAUGUCUUAGAACUCCGAUUGCGAAGGCAGCUCACUAAGCUGGUAUUGACGCUGAUGCACGAAAGCGUGGGGAUCGAACAGGAUUAGAUACCCUGGUAGUCCACGCCCUAAACGAUGAUAACUCGAUGUUGGCGAUAGACAGCCAGCGUCCAAGCGAAAGCGUUAAGUUAUCCACCUGGGGAGUACGCCCGCAAGGGUGAAACUUAAAGGAAUUGACGGGGUCAUAGCUGUUUCCU
rnacentral:rRNA from 1 species